rnacentral:rRNA from 1 species
UACGUAGGGGCCUAGCGUUGUCCGGAUUUACUGGGCGUAAAGCGCACGUAGGCGGCUUUGUAAGUUAGAGGUGAAAGCCCAGGGCUCAACCCUGGAAUUGCCUUUAAGACUGCAUCGCUUGAACAUCGGAGAGGUAAGUGGAAUUCCGAGUGUAGAGGUGAAAUUCGUAGAUAUUCGGAAGAACACCAGUGGCGAAGGCGACUUACUGGACGAUUGUUGACGCUGAGGUGCGAAAGCGUGGGGAGCAAACAGG